rnacentral:lncRNA from 10 species
GUAAUUUUCCACUACUUGCCCUAAUCCUAUAAAACUGCCCCACUCCUAUCUCCCUUUGCUGACUCCUUUUUCGGACUCAGUCUGCCUGCACCCAUGUGAUUAAAAAGCUUUAUUGCUCACACAAAGCCUGUUUGGUUAUCUCUUCACACAGACAUGCGUGACAUUUGGUGCUGAAGACCCGGGAUGGGGGACUCCUUCGGGAGACUGGUCCCCUGUCCUCACCCUCACUCCAUGAGGAGAUCCACCUACAACCUCGGGUCCUCAGUCCAACCAGCCUAAGGAACAUCUCACCAAUUUCAAAUCAGCACGAUGCAUCAAACCAUACCAUGGCAUGCCUAGGACCCAACCCCAUAUCAGAAAUGAAGAAACUGACCUUACAGUACCCGCAGCCCUGAACAAAGCAGCUUCCACAGAUGACACAAGCCCCGGACCUGGGGGAUGCUGAAGAGGACAACUCAGGAGGCUGAACGAAUCCUGCUCUGGACACUGACACCAAUUACUCCAGGAAAUUUUUUCCUUGCUAUGCUUUCUGUGUAUAUUGCAACUCACAUAGGGAUGCAAAGUUGGAAUAAGAGCAAUGACCACCUCUCCUGAGAGACCUGUUUGUUCCCACAUCUGUACUCUUCAGUCAACAGAACCUGAUGCAAAGAACAGAAAAGGGGAAGAUGUGGGGGAUUCAGUCAGGAUGGUGGGAGAAAUUGUAAAAUUAUAGGAAAUAAUCACAAACACUUGUGGAAGGCCUGGGGGUUUGCAUAAAAUGUUGGGCUGAAGGCAGCUGAAUUCUCUUAAAAGCUUAGGGCAUAGAUACACAGAAAUGUAGUUUAUCUAAAUGACUUGUUUACUUAUGUGGUCCUAAAACUAACCUUUGAUAGUUUAUGGGCAGGAUAGCUCUCUCAGGGUAGGGGGAGGGCAACCAGAUUGAUUACCCACUGAUGGUGUUGACUCAAAGCCUUCGUCAUUUAAUAUGUGCUGAAUAAAUGCCAGCAGGGCCAGUGAGUCAGGGCCACAGCUGCAACUCUUUACAGCACUCUCCUUUGAGUCUGUAAGUGGCCUAGACCCUCAGCCGGUCUGACAAGCAUAAUAUCUGUGUUAGUGUACAUUAUUCAUCCAUCGUUGGGUCAGGGUCUGCAGGACAGACCCCUAGAAAAAUAAAAUAAAAUUAAAAAUAGCCGGGUGUGGUUACACACACCUGUAAUCCCACCUACCUGGGAGGCUGAGAUAGAAUCGCUUGAACACAGGAGGCAGAAUUUGCAGUGAGCCGAGAUCAUGCCACUGCA